CCUACGGGAGGCAGCAGUGAGGAAUAUUGGUCAAUGGACGAGAGUCUGAACCAGCCAAGUAGCGUGAAGGAUGACUGCCCUAUGGGUUGUAAACUUCUUUUAUAUGGGAAUAAAACGUUCCACGUGUGGGAUUUUGUAUGUACCAUAUGAAUAAGGAUCGGCUAACUCCGUGCCAGCAGCCGCGGUAAUACGGAGGAUCCGAGCGUUAUCCGGAUUUAUUGGGUUUAAAGGGAGCGUAGGUGGAUUGUUAAGUCAGUUGUGAAAGUUUGCGGCUCAACCGUAAAAUUGCAGUUGAAACUGGCAGUCUUGAGUACAGUAGAGGUGGGCGGAAUGCGUGGUGUAGCGGUGAAAUGCUUAGAUAUCACGAAGAACUCAGAUUGCGAAGGCAGUUCACUGGACUGCAACUGACACUGAGGCUCGAAAGUGUGGGUAUCAAACAGGAUUAGAUACCCUUGUAGUC
rnacentral:rRNA from 1 species